UACGAAGGGGGGCUAGCGUUGUUCGGAUUUUACUGGGCGUAAAAGCGCACGUAGGCGGAUCGUUAAGUUAGGGGUGAAAUCCUGGAGCUCAACUCCAGAACUGCCUCUAAUACUGGCGAUCUAGAGUCCGGAAAGAGGUGAGUGGAACUCCUAGUGUAGAGGUGGAAUUCGUAGAUAUUAGGAAGAACACCAGUGGCGAAGGCGGCUCACUGGUCCGGUACUGACGCUGAGGUGCGAAAGCGUGGGGAGCAAACAGG
rnacentral:rRNA from 1 species